GAAUAAUUUGCCUCCCAUUCUGAAUCUACCAUCUUCACAGGAAAACACAUCUGCUUGUCAGAUUUGUGAGAAAAAAGGACAUCUGGCUAGAAAUUGCCCAGAUAGAGGUAAUUUGGCUGCUCAGGUAACUGGAAAUGAAGAAGAAACAGCAGCACAUUCGGUAACAGUUCAAGAUCUGGACUGGUGUCUUGACUCAGGAGCUACUAAUCACAUGGUAGCUGAUGAAGCUUUGCUCCAUGACUGCCAGACCUAUACAGGUAUUGGGUGUGUUGUGAUUGGAUCUGGAGAUAGAUUAGUAAUUGCUAAAAUAGGAAAAUUAGACUUUGAAGUACAUUCAAAGUUUUAUACACUUAAUAAAGUUUUAUGUGUACCUAAGAAUAAGAAAAAUCUAAUUUCUGUGACUAAACUAUGUAGUGAUUUGAAUUGUUAUAUACAGAUUUCACAGAAGGAAUUUUCAGUGAAGAGCCUGAAGAUGCAUCAGACGCUUUUUUCUGGAAUUAAUAAAAGAGGGCUAUAAUAUUUCAGCCCGGAUAUCAACUGUAAUUUGGGCAUCAAGGUCUC
rnacentral:lncRNA from 1 species